rnacentral:lncRNA from 12 species
CUUUCUCCCUCUACCCCUUGGCUCCACUUUUCUUGGGCCUGACUUUACUUUGGGGCUGCUUUCUCCAAUGGUGGCUCCUGGUGACGUUAGCUUCACAACUGCUGCAGAAAGAACUUCUCUUUGCAAGAGUGACAGUAUGAGUUCUAGAAGCCCGUGGCCCUGGGCUCUGUAGCCUGGUGUAUGUGGUGCUCUGCUGGCCAGUCCUGGGUGGGGAACUGAGGCGGAGCUAAGUGCAGUCCCCUCCGGACACAAGGGGGCAGAGGGGUGGGGUGGGGGGCAGAGGCCCCUGGGGACAAUCGCACCACUGCUGGGGCUGAUGCUCCAGUCCCCCUUCCUCCUGCAACCACUAGCUAUCUUUCCUCUCCUCCCCCUUUCCUCCACCUCCAGAAGGCUUUUCCUGCCUCCCGACUUCCAUGCCUUUGUGCCUUCUGUUUGCUUUCUUCUCUGGGCCUCUUUCUGUCUCUGCUUAUCGCACUGUUGUUUCUUUUUAAUACCUCACGCUGCAGUUCCCUCAAAGGUAUCUGAUGGGAUUUGUUCACAUCUCAUCGAGAGCACCCACGUUGUGCAGUGUGCUUCUGUCAGGCCACCUCAUGGCCACUAACUAGCCUACAGUUUCCUUCCCGUUAGCCCCUUCCUCUGGGAUGAUGCGCCAAGGGAACAGAGCCGCCUGCUGUGGUGUAAGGCGAGGGGCCUAUGGAGAAGAGCAUCUCUGGUUCCUGCCGGAAGGAAACAAAAAACUUCAAUUCUCCAAAGGGAAGCUACUCCGUCUGCAGCACAUAGGCCUUUACUGGAAACCCUGUUGCAUUUCCUCGGUAGGACAUCAAGUUUAUCUAAGCUGUGAAAGCAACACGAAGAUAAGACCAAUUUUUUUUUCUUGUUACGAAAAAGCUGUCUGCGUACUGUCUAGAAACAGUGGAUCCUUGAUUUUGAAGGGACUUCAGCAAUUUAAGGAUGAAAAUGAAGCCUCUUCACUUAUUUGAAUUUCACCCUGCCCUUGGGGGAGGGCUGCUUAGGAGUUAUUCCAAGGUUUAGAAGUAGUAGAAGAAGAGGUCACGGGGUUCGUGGCUACAUGCAGCCUCUACCAUUGUGCAAUAAAACCACGUUCCGCUGGUUUCCUUAGGUAAGA